UGAGAGAUGAUCAGGUAGAUAGGUCAGGAGUGGAAGUACAGUGAUGUAUGGAGCGGACUGAUACUAAUCGAUCGAGGACUUAACCAAU
rnacentral:rRNA from 1 species